rnacentral:rRNA from 1 species
GACGAACGCUGGCGGCGUGCUUAACACAUGCAAGUCGAACGGGCCCCUCGGGGUCAGUGGCAGACGGGUGAGUAACGCGUGGGAACGUGCCCUUCAGUUUGGGAUAACCCAGGGAAACUUGGGCUAAUACCGGAUACGUGCGAGAGCAGAAAGAUUUAUCGCUGAAGGAUCGGCCCGCGUCUGAUUAGCUGGUUGGUAGGGUAAUGGCCUACCAAGGCGACGAUCAGUAGCUGGUCUGAGAGGAUGAUCAGCCACAUUGGGACUGAGACACGGCCCAAACUCCUACGGGAGGCAGCAGUGGGGAAUAUUGGACAAUGGGCGCAAGCCUGAUCCAGCCAUGCCGCGUGAGUGAUGAAGGCCUUAGGGUUGUAAAGCUCUUUCAGUGGGGACGAUAAUGACGGUACCCGCAGAAGAAGCCCCGGCUAACUUCGUGCCAGCCGCCGCGUAA